CCCAGACUCCUACGGGAGGCAGCAGUGGGGAAUAUUGCACAAUGGGGGGAACCCUGAUGCAGCGACGCCGCUUGGGUGAAGGAGCACCUCGGUGCGUAAAGCCCUCUCGGCAGGGAAGAAACAGACGGUACCUGGGGAGGAAGCUCCGGCUAACUACGUGCCAGCAGCCGCGGUAAUACGUAGGGAGCGAGCGUUGUCCGGAAUUACUGGGUGUAAAGGGAGCGUAGGCGGGACUGCAAGUUGGGUGUCAAAUCUACCGGCUCAACCGGUAGCCGCACUCAAAACUGCAGUUCUUGAGUGAAGUAGAGGCAGGCGGAAUUCCUAGUGUAGCGGUGAAAUGCGUAGAUAUUAGGAGGAACACCAGUGGCGAAGGCGGCCUGCUGGGCUUUUACUGACGCUGAGGCUCGAAAGUGUGGGGAGCAAACAGGAUUAGAUACCCUUGUACCC
rnacentral:rRNA from 1 species